GGUGCGCACUGGUUCGGUCGGCUUUUCCGCCGGAGUGCCUUGCGUUGGUGGUCCCCACAAGGGUCCGUCAGCGCGGGUCCGGCAAGUUUACUUUGAACAAAUCAGAGUGCUUCAAACAGGCGUCUCGCCUGAAUGUUCGUGCAUGGAAUAAUAGAAGAGGAUUUCGGUCCGAUUUUAUUGGUUUUGCUGACCGAGAUAAUGGUUAACAGAGACAAACGGGGCCAUUCGUAUUGCUGCGUGAGAGGUGAAAUUCUUGGACCGUAGCAAGACGGACUACAGCGAAAGCAUUUGGCAAGAAUGUCUUCAUUAAUCAAGAACGAAAGUCAGAGGUUCGAAGGCGAUCAGAUACCGCCCUAGUUCUGACCGUAAACGAUGCCAACUAGCGAUCCGCCGGCGGAUCAAUUCGCCCUGGUGGGGAGCUUCCCGGAAACGAAAGUCUUCCGGUUCCGGGGGAAGUAUGGUUGCAAAGCUGAAACUUAAAGGAAUUGACGGAAGGGCACCACCAGGAGUGGAGCCUGCGGCUUAAUUUGACUCAACACGGGGAAACUCACCCGGCCCGGACACCGUAAGGAUUGACAGAUUGAUAGCUUUUUCAUGAUUCGGUGGAUGGUGGUGCAUGGCCGUUCUUAGUUCGUGGAGCGAUUUGUCUGGUUUAUUCCGAUAACGAGCGAGACUCUGGCCUACUAAAUAGUUGGCGCAUUGUCACUGUGCGCACAACACUUCUUAGAGGGAUUUUCGG
rnacentral:rRNA from 1 species